CCUUGAGAUCUUAGUGGCGCAGCUAACGCAUUAAGUUGACCGCCUGGGGAGUACGGCCGCAAGGUUAAAACUCAAAUGAAUUGACGGGGGCCCGCACAAGCGGUGGAGCAUGUGGUUUAAUUCGAUGCAACGCGAAGAACCUUACCUACUCUUGACAUCCACGGAAUUCGGCAGAGAUGCCUUAGUGCCUUCGGGAACCGUGAGACAGGUGCUGCAUGGCUGUCGUCAGCUCGUGUUGUGAAAUGUUGGGUUAAGUCCCGCAACGAGCGCAACCCUUAUCCUUUGUUGCCAGCGAUUCGGUCGGGAACUCAAAGGAGACUGCCGGUGAUAAACCGGAGGAAGGUGGGGAUGACGUCAAGUCAUCAUGGCCCUUACGAGUAGGGCUACACACGUGCUACAAUGGCGCAUACAAAGAGAAGCGACCUCGCGAGAGCAAGCGGACCUCAUAAAGUGCGUCGUAGUCCGGAUCGGAGUCUGCAACUCGACUCCGUGAAGUCGGAAUCGCUAGUAAUCGUGGAUCAGAAUGCCACGGUGAAUACGUUCCCGGGCCUUGUACACACCGCCCGUCACACCAUGGGAGUGGGUUGCAAAAGAAGUAGGUAGCUUAACCUCCGGGAGGGCGCUUACCACUUUGUGAUUCAUGACUGGGGUGAAGUCGUAACAAGGUAACC
rnacentral:rRNA from 1 species